GUACAUGUAUUUUCAUAGCAACAGUUUGUUCAAAUACAAAAUACAAGUUGCUAAUUUAAGUAAUUAUGAAAGUGUUGCUAUGAAUCUCAUAAUUAUGGUGCUAUGAAUUUCAUAAUUAUGGUCUUAGGUAUGCUAUUUAUGAAUUUUACCCAACAACAAAUGACAAUGUGUACUUUCACUCUCAAAAUCAACCACCUUACCUCAACCCCACCUCACCCAUAACUUACUCUAUUUCCACU
rnacentral:lncRNA from 1 species